rnacentral:lncRNA from 1 species
UAUUUAUUUAAAUACCUUAAUGAAAAGGCAUUAAACAAAUACCAAAGUUUUUAUUAUUUUUCCUAGGGUAUAAGAAUUUUAAUGCAUAAAGGAAAAUAAAACAAUCCUAACAAAAUUGGUUUCACUAAUUUUGGACACUCCUAGAAAUUUCUGUGAUUUUAAAAGGUGAUAAACAAAUUUAAGCUAUUAUUCUAACAAAAGAAAAUCUAAAUUUUUCCCAAAAACCCCCGGCCUUACUUUUCUCACUCACCCCCUCUCUACCCUCUCUCACUCGCGCUGGGCCCGCGAGUCAGGUCCACCUUCUUCUCCUAUUCCCUCUACCCGCCGGCCAUUUCUCUUCUGUCGGGCCAACUGGGCCGAUUCCUCCCCUCUCCUCCUUUCCUAUUUAAGUUCCGGCCCAACGGCCCAACUUCCUUUUUCCUUUCUUUUUCGCGCAGCACCCGGCCUUCCAAGAUGGCCCGACGGCCUCGCACCGGCACCUGGGCCUGCUGGACCCCAGCCCACCUUACUCCUUCGCCCGGCCGACCCUCUUCCUUUCCCUUCUCCUCUAACGUGCGGGCCCCCGAUGCCAGCACCGUCUUCCUCCUCGCGCCAAAACUGCGCACUACAGGGGGCGACAUGGCUCGCCGGCCCGUGCCCCACCGGCGACGGGGCCGAGCUGGGGAAGCAUCCCCAUGCUAUAGCGCACCCGUGCGCAGCGGCAGCUUCCCGGGAGGUGGCCGGAGCUACCCUCUCCACGGCGGCGGGCGGCAAAACUGACGGCCGACCAUGGCCAAGCAUGACGACGGCGUAACUUACCUCUUCAACUCCCCUACAGCUUCCUAGUACCCCAAACUCUCACCUACGGCUCACCACAAAGAAGGACAAUGACGGCAAAGUAAGGCUCACCGUGAGCAGGAAGUUCGGCGGUGGCGGACGGAAACGACGGCGGUUUAGGGUGCACCGGCGGAGAAGCUGGACAACAAGUUGACAGGGCUGUUGGUAGGGUGUGAGUGGAGGUGUGGACGGAAGGAAUCGAUGGGGGAGGCGUUGUGGUGGUGGAAUUUGAUCGGCGGCGAUGGCUGGGCAGAGAACUUACGGGCGGCGGUAAAAAGCAGGGCGGUAAGAAGCGGCGGCGGGAGCGGUAGUUAUUCGAAGGUCUUACCACGCGCAUGGACAACACCGUGGCCUAGUCGUAGGCUGGCGUGGUGAGGAGGUGGCCUAGAGGUUGAGCUGGAUAGCGGGCAAGGGCGCCAGCGGCAACACGUCUCGCCCUCUCUGAUUUCCUUCUUCCCUUUUCUUUCUUUCGUCAGAAUGUUCAGAUCCUCCCCACGGCCAAUUUUGCAUCCAACGGUCCCAAAGUCCCUUAAGCAAACUUGGAGAUAAACCUGAACCCUUCAAUUUAUAUUUUGGCUCCUACUCGAGAUAAUCAUCCCAACACCGACAUUUUUGAGUUUCUAGCUCGGGCCAACUGAAAAGUUUCUGAGUUACUGAUUUAGUUCGACAGUCACCCGAGCAUGGUCAUUUACCCAUCUUUUGAUCCAUUUUCAGUGGCCCAAAUCCAUUCUUCUUAGUCCAACUACUAACCAUCUAUGCUCUACAACCAUCAGGGAUUCCAUUUUGCUCAUAAACACUUAUACCUUUGCACUCCAUCCUUCUGAAUUUCGCUCCAAACUUAGCUACUGAUUUCUAUUUUCAGACUUAGAAAAAGAUUCAGUUCAGCAGCUAGGUCAAACAAGGCAAAGUGCUGACUUUGGGCCCCGAUUUGAAUUUGAUCCCCUUACUGUUCUUAACCAUCAACACCCUAUUAUACUUGCCCAAAGUUCAUACUUCAUCGCUGUAUAGUUGCUUUGGUCCACUUAUUUGGAAAAUUUGGCAGAAAUCAAUUUCCAAGAGGGAUACUUGCACUGUUUUUCUGAAACUCUAUUUUCGGACAGUGAAUAGUAUCCUUCUGAUUUUAUUUUUCAAUUGCAUUUCUUGAGAUGUUUAGGACUAGGUUUAGUCUCCAAUCUUGAUCCCUAAAGUUCUAAACACUCUCAAGCUUCCAUUUCAUAUUUUUGCCCAAUUUUUCUGAAUUUAGAAUUCAAAAUUCAAAUUUUUGUCAAAUUUGACUUGAAUUUGACUUUUAGUCAAUUUCUUCUCUUUUUCACCCAAUGCAUCUUUAACUUUUCUUAGUCACCUUUUGUUAUUGAGACACUAGGUGUUACAGCCUCUCCCCCUUAACAGAAUCUCGUCCUGAGAUUCCAGAGGUUAAACUCUCAGUUUUGAGAAUGGAAAGGAAACUGCAUCAGAUAAAACAUCCUUCUCUUUUCUGUAUAAAGAAAGUGGGGUGGUGGCUUUUAUUUAUCUGAUUUCGACAGUUUCAAAUAGCUCAGGAUAUUUGGACUCUAAGUCUUCGGCCUGUUCCCAAGUAGCUUCAUCUGGAGUAUGAUUCUUCCAUUGUACCUUGUAAAACUUAAUACUUCGAGUUCGGAUAUCUCUUGUCUUUUGAUCCAAAAUUUUAAUAUGCCUUUCCUCAUAGGUCAGGUCUGGCUCGAGCUCAACUUCCAGAUCUUCUAAAAUUUCUUCUGGAACUCUUAAGCACUUCUUAAGCUGGGAUACAUGAAAUACAUCAUGUAUAGAAGCAAGUUGGUCUGGCAACGAAAGCUUGUAUGCCACCGGACCUUUUUGUUCCAGAAUCUCAUAAGGACCAAUAUACCUUGGGGCUAGUUUACCUUUUACUCCAAAACCUUGCACCCCUUUCAUCGGAGAUACUUUCAGGUAUACAAAGUCUCCGACAUGAAAUUCCAAAGACCGUCUUCUUUUAUCUGAAUAGUUCUUUUGUCGGGAUUGGGCUAUUUCAAGAUGUUUUCGAAUCUUUCGAACCUUUUCUUCAGUUUCCACAACCAAAUCUGAUCCUAAAUGUGUCCUUUCUCCUACUUCUAACCAAUUCAAGGGGGUUCGGCAUCUUCGACCAUACAAGGCUUCGAAAGGUGCCAUUUUAAUACUAGCUUGAUAGCUAUUAUUAUAGGAGAAUUCAGCUAGGGGCAAACAUUCAUCCCAUAGCUUUGAGAAAGUAAGGACAUAAGCUCGUAACAUGUCUUCCAAGAUUUGGUUGACUCUUUCUGUUUGUUCCCCUGUUUAAGGAUGAUAGGCAGAGCUUCUAAUCAGAGUAGUCCCCAUAUCUUUUUGCAGUUGUUCCCAAAACCUGGAAACAAACUGGGAGCCUCGAUCGGAAAUAAUUGUUUUUGGUACCCCGUGUAGAGACACAAUCCGGGCCAUAUAGAUCUUUGCAUACGCCGAUACUGGAUAUGUAGUCUUGACGGGAAUGAAAUGGGUUGACUUAGUGAGUCGGUCAACAAUAACCCAUAUGGAAUCAUACCCUUUUGAAGUAGUAGGCAACCCAACUAUGAAGUCCAUGGAAAUAUCUUCCCACUUCCAGACAGGAAUUUCCAAAGGUUGAAGCAAACCAGCCGAUUUUUGUAAGAUUAGUUUAACUCUUCGGCAGGUGUCGCAUUCGGCUACAUAUCUCGCAAUUUCAGGCUUCAUCAUGGCCCACCAAAAUCUCUGCUUCAAAUCUUGGUACAUUUUAUUUCUUCCGGGAUGAAUGGCGAACUUAGAUAGGUGUGCUUCGUCCAAGAUCAUCUUCCUUAGCUUUUCAUCCUUAGGAACUACUAUCCUCUUCUUGAAAUAUAGCCCUCCAUCCUUUUCUCGAGUGAGUUCAGAAAUCUUUCCUUCUGCUUUCUAUUUGUAAAGUACCUUUAUCCAUGGAUCCUCUUUCUAGGCUAUAAUCAUUCUUUCCUUUACAGUGUCUUGCAUGAUAAUGUUCAAGAGGGUACCUUGCGUUACUAUUUCCAAGCUUAAAUCUUCUAAUUCUUCACACAGGGUCUUAAGGCUAGAUUGAAUAGUGGUGCAGUGGCAUUGGGCUUUCCUGCUCAAAGCAUCAGCCACCACAUUAGCCUUACUAGGAUGGUAGUGGAUUUCUAACUUAUAAUCUUUAAUUAGUUCCAACCACCAUCUCUGCCUCAUAUUCAAGUCCAUUUGAGUGAAAAUGUACUUUAAGCUUUUUGAAGCGUCCCCACAUAAGUAGAGACUAAAUGUGAUCCAAUUAUCAGUCCCAGGAGGCUGAUAACACAUUUAUUCAACAGAUAGUUCAGAAACCGUACAACUCCCGAAGGAGCGGGCGGGCAAGCCACACCCAAAGCAUGACUAAAGCGAUAACAAUACAAAUCCAAGUUGCAGUCCAGUCGGACUCCGGGCUGCAAUCAGAACUAAGCGUCAGCGGAAGCAUCCUGCAAAAGGGCAAACACCACAGGCAGCGUUGGGUGCAGACGCAACCUCCUACUCGAAGUCCUCGGCGACGAAGUCCGGAUCCUCCUCUGAAGUAACAACAUAAGAGUGAGUACAAAAGUACUCAGCAAGUCCAACCCCAUCCACGGAGGGGGAUACAUCAAGAAUAUGCAUAUGAAUAAUCAAGGAAUAAGCUAUAGUUUUAUUUGCAGUAAAGCUGAUUUUUAAACACAUGCAGGGUUCCAUUUCAAAGAAGUUUCAUGAAAACAUUUUAGUAAACAACAUAUCAAGUGGGGUUGAUCCUACACAAAGGAUCCAAGUUUUAUCGCUACCGGACUCCCCGUCCGCCGUAGCUCACGGCACACCUGCCGGACACUUCCAAAAUUCCACACACCCACACACGCAGUAAAAUACCAGUCAUCCCUAAAAGCUAGUUGUGUGACCGAGCCGUAACUCGUCCAAUGCCGUGGACACGGCUACCCGGAUAGGUUUUAACUCUGCAGAGGUUGUACACUUUUCCCACAAGUAGGGUACCGUAUCGCGAUCACCUUAGUGACGGUACGGAUCCUAACAAAGCCAUUACCCACCUUAGCCAACACUGACUAGUCAACACAGAAGCACUCAAGGGGUUAGCAACCCAUCCACGGGGCCGAAACCGGGACCUAAGUCACCAAGAGCUUAGUCCUUUUCCAAGGGCUCCCGUUGCUCACCAGCACACCUGAAGCCUAGCAGUUUAGCUAGUGGGGUUUAUGCUAAGCCGUUGCCCAUACAACGGUCGAGUGGUUGCACGAUGAUAGAAUUAGGUAGGAUGACACAUCAACUCGGUCCUUAUUCAUGACAAGAUGGAUAUCUCCCAUUCUGCUCAACCACUAAGGUACGAGCCCAACAAUCCGGCAUUCCACACCAGAAACACCCAUCCAUCUCAUCCACCACCUCUCUUUACACCCGAAACCCCAACUCCUCAGUUAAACAUACUCACACAUUUAUUUUCCGGGUAAACAGGUGUAGUCAUGUUUGAAUUUGGAUAAUGAGUUCCUAAGCAUUCUAGCAGUGUUUAUCAUCUAAACCGAGCAACUCAUAUUUAGAGAUAAAUAUGGGAUAACAAGGAAUAGUCAUAACAAUCAAGGGGUGGCUAUCCAACCAUGUCUUGCGAUAAAACAAUAUGCAUUUUGUAAAACAGGCCAAUAGGUUGUGUCUGGAAAACUGGGUAUUAAAUAUGCAUCAAAGGGUGAGAUUGGACUUGCCGUUCUCAAAGUCUUCCGGGAGCUCCUGCUCGCGGUACUGGUCCUCGAGCUCGGGCUCGCGGUCGAACUCCUCCUUGCGCUCCUCCUCGGGUACUCCGCGAUCUACGGCACACACAAACGAGCACACAAUAAAUAAAAAGGAAAAAGAUAUUACCCGUUGAGCUCCGAACAGGAAAUAUGAACGGAAAAUAGGUAGGAGGAGUAUUUUCAUGGAAUUUUGAUAUGCCUCGGCGGAAACAUAUGAGAGGAGGCUGUGGUCGAAUUUGGGGUGGAUUGGAGGAAAUUUGGCGCAUGAAAUGACGGGUUAAAGGAGUAUUAGGGGCUUUAAAACGAGGUUUAGGACUGAACCGCGAGAGCAGGGGCCUAUUUGUAAUUAUUUUUGGAAUGGUGGGAGGACCUGUUCGCGAAUCAGGGAAACUGGUGGGUUGGAUCGCGAGGAGAGGGAUUUACCCCUUCUUCUUCUUGGAGACAACAGGAGGUGGAGAAAAGGAUGGCUGUCGGCGCUCUGGUGGUGGUGGUGGAGGAAGGCAAGGUGCUCGUGGUGAGGGUGUGGAGGUGCAAGGCUCGGCUCCCCCCCCCCUUUUAUAGGCGACACACGGGCGGGCGAGGGCCGAUGCAAUGAUGGCGGCCGGACCUUUGGCCGGUGGCGUGCCGGAGUGGUGGAGCUCAUGGAUGGCGUGGCGGCGUGGUCGACAAGGCCACAGGAGCGGUCACCGGCGACCGGCGACACGACGCGACGCACCGAGCCAAGCGCUAGACGCCAAGGCGCGAGCGGGCGUGGCACGGGCGACGUGACGCGGCGCGCGCGCGGGCGCGGCGGCGCGCGCGCAGGCGCGCGGCCCGACGUGGCGCGCGGCCCUGCGCGCGUGCGCGCCCCGAGCGCCUCGGCGCGCGUGCCAAGCAGGGGAGGGGUGCAGGCGCAAGUGGGUGGGGUGCUAGGGAAAUAAAGGAGAGAGAGAAGAAAGAGGAAGGGAGAGGAGGAAGAAAGAGAAGGAAAAAGGAGAAGGGAAAGAAAGAGGGAGAAAAAGAAAGAAGGAAGAGAAAGAGAGGAAAGGGAGGGGAAAAAGAUGACGAAAAUUGCGGGAUUCGACUGCGCGCGGUGAUGGACUUGACAGGCACGCGGCGAAAAUUACGGGGAGCGGAAAAAGGAGACUUGACGAGCCGGGGCCAGGAUGGCGGGUCCGACGGAAGGAAAAGGAUUUGACGGAGCUCGGCGGUCGGAAAAAUUUUGGAGAGUAUUUUUAACGGGUGAUUUAACUGGGUGUAUUUUACGGGCGUUACAAACCUACCCCACUUAAAUUGAAUCUCGUCCUCGAGAUUCGGCUGAGUCCUGAACAGAUGGGGAAACUCCUUCUUUAACGCAUCCUCGCGUUCCCAAGUGGCUUCUUCCUCACCAUGCCUACUCCAUUGGACUCUGCAAAUCCGUACUGCUGAAUUCCUUGUCCUUCUGGUGACGGUGUCCAAAAUCUUGAUGGGUACCUCCUGAUAUCGCAGGUCCUUCUGCAAAUCUAUGGUUUCCACCGGUACUUGCUCUUCUGGUACUCUCAGGCAUUUUCUUAGCUGGGACACAUGAAAUACCGGGUGGAUGUCCGACAUUUCUUCGGGCAACUGAAUACGGUAGGCUACCGCUCCAACUCUUUUUAGCACCUUGUAUGGUCCGAUAUACCGAGGGGCCAGCUUUCCUUGCAGUUGGAACCUUCGGGUACCUCGAAUCGGAGAGACCUUAAGGUACACGAAGUCCCCCUCACUGAAAAUCAACUCUCGUCUCCUUUUAUCUGAGUAGCUCUUCUAUCUAGACUGUGCUGCUUUCAACUUCUCUCGUAUUUCAGCUACUCGCUCUUCUGCUUCCUUAAUAAAAGCAGGUCCUACCAAGGUGCGCUCUCCCACUUCCGACCACAUCAACGGGGUCCUGCACUUUCUCCCAUAGAGAGCCUCAAACGGUGACAUGCCUAAGCUGGCUUGGUAACUGUUGUUGUAUGAGAACUCUGCAUAUGGUAGACUCUGUUCCCAAUCCUUGCCAUAAGUAAGGACACAUGCCCUCAACAUGUCCUCCAUGAUCUGAUUUACUCUCUCUGUUUGGCCAUCGGUCUGGGGGUGAUAAGCUGAACUAAAGUCCAGUUUGGUGCCCAUAGCCUUAUGAAGACUCUUCCAGAAUCUAGAGGUAAAUUGGGUCCCUCUAUCCGAAACAAUUCUGCUAGGUACACCAUGCAACUUCACUAUGUUGUCCACUUAGAGCUGAGCUAGCUUUUCUCCUCCAUAGGUGGUCCGUACGGGUAAGUAGUGGGCAACUUUAGUGAGUCGAUCCACUAUCACCCAUAUGGAGUCAUUCCCUUUUUGGGUCCUGGGCAAUCCCACUACAAAAUCCAUGCCAAUCUCGUCCCAUUUCCAAACUAGAAUGGGUAGUGGUUGCAGUAACCCGGCUGGCUUCUGAUGUUCGGCCUUAACCCUUUGGCAAAUAUCGCAAUGAGCGACGAACUGGGCUAUGUCCGCUUUCAUCCUGUUCCACCAGUACUUCUGCUUUAAGUCCAUGUACAUCUUGGUGGAUCCCCGGUGGAUGGAAUAUGCUGAGUUAUGGGCCUCAUCAAUGAUGGUUUGCCGGAAUUCACCUUCCUUGGGUACACAAAUCCUAUUCUUGUACCACAAGGUUCCCUUUUCAUCCAUUCUGAAGUCUAGGGCUUUAUUUUCUCCGGUUUGCCUGCGAAUCCUCACCAGGUCCGAGUCCGAGCCUUGGGCCUCUCGGAUUCUUUCUUCCAGGGUGGGCUGAACACUUAGCUUGCGGCUGGUAUUCUGAGGAAUGAUGUGCACAUUUAAUCGGGCCAUUUCCUCCUGUAAGUGGGGGUCCUUAGGUCCGAUCUGCCCAUAGGAUUUCCUGCUUAAUGCAUCCGCUACCACAUUGGCCUUACCGGGGUGGUAGUGAAUUUCCAGAUUAUAAUCCUUGACCAACUCUAACCAUCUUCUUUGCCUUAAAUUCAGAUUUGGUUGGGUGAAGAUAUAUUUUAGGCUCUUGUGGUCAGUGUAAAUCUCACACUUGUUCCCGAUCAAGUAGUGCCUCCAGAUCUUGAGGGCAUGCACUACGGCUGCAAAUUCCAGAUCAUGGGUGGGGUAAUUUUGUUCAUGGGGCUUAAGUUGACGGGAGGCAUAUGCCACUACCUUCCCAUCCUGCAUCAGGACACACCCUAACCCUUGUCGAGAAGCGUCACAAUAAAUGACGAAGUCCCGCUGGAUAUCCGGUAGGGUUAACACUGGGGCGGUCGUUAAUCUUCUUUUCAGUUCCUGAAAACUCCUCUCACAUGCUUCAGUCCAAUUGAAUUUCUUGUCCUUCCUGAGUAGCUCUGUCAUAGGUCGGGCUAUCUUGGAGAAUCCUUCAAUGAACCUCCGAUAAUACCCAGCUAAACCAAGAAAACUCCUAAUUUCACUAACAUUGGUGGGUUGCUGCCAGUUGGAGACGGCUUCCACCUUCUCGGGGUCAACUGCUACUCCUUCUGUGGUCAAGAUGUGACCAAGAAAUGCCACCUUCUCUAGCCAAAACUCACAUUUACUGAAUUUAGCAUAGAGUCGGUGGGCUCUCAAUCUCUCCAGCACUACUCGCAGAUGUUGCUCAUGCUCUUGGACACUUUUGGAGUAAAUAAGUAUGUCGUCGAUAAAGACCACGACAAACUUGUCUAAUUCCUCCAUAAACACCUUGUUCAUGAGAUUCAUGAAAUAAGCAGGGGUAUUGGUCAGUCCAAAGGACAUCACUGUGAAUUCAAACUGGCCAUAUCGGGUAACAAAAGCUGUCUUCGGGAUAUCACUUUCCUUAAUCUUGAGCUGGUGGUACCCUGAUCUCAAAUCUAUUUUGGAGAAGUACUUGGCUCCUUUUAACUGGUCAAAUAGGUCAUCUAUUCUGGGAAGGGGGUAUUUAUUCUUGAUGGUGACCUCAUUUAGUGCGCGAUAAUCCACGCACAUCCUCAUGCUUCCAUCUUUCUUUUUGACAAAGAGCACUGGGGCUCCCCACGGGGAUGAGCUAGGUCUGAUAAAGCCACUCUGCUGCAGUUCACCUACCUGUUUCUUCAGCUCUGCUAACUCAGAUGCUGCCAUUCUAUAGGGCCUCUUGGCUAUAGGGGAGGUUCCAGGGAUAAGGUUGAUCACAAACUCUAUAUCUCUAUCCGGGGGCAUUCCAGGUAGUUCUUCAGGAAAAACAUCCGGGUAUUCACUCACUACCGGGACUCCUUCUAUGGCCUUGGCUUCCAUGCUAAAAACCAUUGGGUCGGGCCCACUUCCCCGGGUGUGGCAGGUCACUUGUACGCCAUCCUGAUUAAUUAGGCGCACUACCUUAUCAGCACAUCCUAUGUGUCCAUCAUGUAGGCUUAACCAAUCCAUUCCAAGGAUCACAUCUAUUCCUUUAGACUUAGUACUACUAGAUCUGCUAGGAAUUCUACCCCACUUAAAUUGAUCCUUACCCGGGAACAGCCUAGUCGACACUGGAUGUCGGCUCCAGGCGUUCGGGUUAUUAGGGGUACCUUUAGUAGUACUGUAGGUAUGUGGUGCUUAUCCACAAAGCUUGAUGAUAUAAAUGAAUGUGAUGCUCCAGAAUCGAAGAGUACUGUUGCCAAAACUGAGCUGACUAGAAACUCACCGAGUACAACGCCUUGAGCUUCCUGAGCCUCUUGCGCGCUGAUGUGGUUGACGCGGGCUCGUCCAAACGACUGCUGGGGCUGCCUCAUCUGCUGGCUGUUGUUGUUGUUGUUGCCGGGGUUGUUCCUGCGGACGGGAACACGGUUGGCUCCUGACACUGCUACCCUUGGCCCAGUCACUGCGUUGGAGAAGGCUGAUGCAGCUGGCUUGUUGGUGUAGGGGCAGUUGGCAAUGAAGUGCCUUGGCUCACGGCAGUUGAAACAUGCCCUGCCGUUGUUGGUGACUUGACUGGCGCUGUUCUGUGGGGCCUUGGCAGGAUUCUGACUUCUGAAUGGGGCAUUAGUCUGAUGGGAACCGGAGGCUUGAGACUGGGUCCGGUACUGCAUGGGAGCUUGGGACCUGGGCAUGGGGUGACCAAAGCUUCUUGGUUUCUGGAACCUGUCUUGCUGGUGGGCCUUGCUGUCCAGGAACCGGCGCUUGUUGUCCCUCCUCUCAUCUGCCUUGGCUCUCUCAGUCAGAAUGGCCAUGUUCAUCAGGGUGUUGAAGUCAGGGUAGAUCUGAGGAGUAAGCAGGGUCCUCAGUUCUGCGUUCAAGCCCUUCUUAAACAUGUCUUGCUUCUUCUCAUCCUUGUCUACUUCUUCUGGAGCAUAGCGAGCCAACUCCAUGAACUGAUAGGUGUACUCCUCCACGGACUUGUUGCCCUGGCGCAGUUCACGGAAUUCAUCCGCCUUGCGCUUCAUGGUAGCCACAGGAAUGUGAUAGCGGCGGAACUCUGUCACAAACUCAUCCCAGGUGAUAGUGGAGGCAUCCUGGGCGGCUGUGCAAUAGUUCUCCCACCAAGCUAGAGCAGUCCCAGUGAGCUGGUGUGCAGCCAGGAGAACCUUGUCCCUGCUCUCACAGCCGAAUGGCUCUAGCUUCCUCUGGAUGACCCGCAGCCAGUCAUCUGCGUCCAGGGGGUUGAUGGACCCACCAAAAGUGGGUGGCUUGGUGUGGAGGAAGUCGGUCAGCUUCUCAUUCAUACCCUGUCCGCGGGGCCUCUGGCGAGUGAUGGCAUUGGCCAAGGCUUCCAGCAGAAGGCUCUGGUUGUUCAUGACCUGUACCAAAUCAAUGACCGGUGGGGGCGGUGGCUCCUGUGCUCCCACUUGACUCUCCCCCCUGCCCUCAGGCUAAUUCACCUCUUGCUCCUCAUGGUGCACUAUUGGUGGGGGUCCCUGCCUUUCCUGCUGCCUUUCUGCACUAGGUGUGGCACGUGCUUGACUCGCGGAGGUCCUGGUGGCACGCUUGGGAGGCAUCUGCAGAUUGAGUGAACUUUCAUGAGACUUGGAUUUGGAUAUUAAGGUGAUGUUUAGUUAAUUAUUUCGAAUUUUCGAAGAGACAGAAUCCACCUCCUAUCGACAAGCACACAGACUAACAAACAACAAGCACAAAUGAUUUUAUUAUUUUGCCAGGGCGGUUACAACACUUGGGGUAGGGCCAAAACACGUGCUACACGACCGGUACAACAACACAACUGGGGGGUGUACAAAUCUAGACUCGGGGUAGCUUCUGGAGUACAACUCUGGACUACGGACCAUGAUUACUCCACUCCCUCGGGCAAACUCUGGGCUGGGCACUCUACUCGCGGGACGAAUCUGCACACUGCGCGGAGUGGUCUUCUGGCGGAAUAAGGAGGGCCAGCACCUCGUCUCUUAGGGUCCCACCUGCAGGAGGAGGUUCAUUGGCCACCUCAGAGUCCCUUUCCGAAGGCGGUGGUGCUGGUGUGGCAUUGGGGCUCUUCCGCUUUCCGGACCCCUGGGCAACAGGGACUCCAUCCAAUACUGGGGCCUCGUCGUCCUCCACGAUCCGCAUCUUCCUCCUCGUGCGGUUCGAAUGGUGGACUUCCUUCAGUGCCUGCGCGUGCCGGUCCUCGGCCUCUUUGAGGGCCUCGAUGGCGAGGGCCUCAUUGCUUUGGGCGGCCGCGGCUCGGGCUUCAGCUGCUGCCAAUCUCACCUGGAGCCUCCUCACCAUAACCUUGGCAUCCUCGGCUCUGCGGAUCUGCUGCUUCAAAUGGGCGGCCUGCUCAUCGCAGAGUUCAUCCAAAGUGAGGAGAUAGGCAGCCAUAUCGAGCACGGUGGGGUCAUCCUCGCGCUGUCCACGUCCUUCCAAAGUCCUCACCCGAGCCAGCCAAACCAGGCGGUUCUUCUUGACAGGCGGGUAGAACCUCAUUGGUGUGCGUCCGAUGUGCCUCUCAUAAAUUUGGCACAGGUAGCGCAGGGCUUUCCGAGCUGCCACCUGGUAAGUGUCUUUCCGCCGGAAACCAGUGGCAGACACAUUCCAAGGCUGAAUGUCGGGGAAGCGGCUGCUCCUGCCCACAAAGAUGGUCAUCUCGCACCGGAGAGUCCCACGGUCCUCAUACUCCCUGCUGGAGUACUCCGAGCACUCGUAAAUUCCGAGGCGGUCCAUGCAGGCGAACAGCAACUUGGGAAAAACCGGGCUCCUCUAGGCAGUGGCUGUUGGUCCAUCCUUCUUCGGCCAUCUGGAAAGAAUCGGGGUGUAAAUCAGUUUUGCAAUUGAGCAUGGAUAGCAAGAAAUUUUGUAAAACAUUUAAUUUGGUCGAAAAGGCUUUUCCGGUCCUAAUGGUUACGUCCUACGGCCAACGACGGCUCUGAUACCACCUGAAGCGUCCCCACAUAAGUAGAGACUAAAUGUGAUCCAAUUAUCAGUUCCAGGAGGCUGAUAACAUAUUUAUUCAACAGAUAGUUCAGAAACCGUACAACUCUCGAAGGAGCGGGCGGGCAAGCCACACCCAAAGCAAGACUAAAGCGAUAACAAUACAAAUCCAAGUUGCAGUCCAGUCGGACUCCGGGCUACAAUCGGAACUAAGCGUCAGCGGAAGCAUCCUGCAAAAGGGCCAACACCACAGGCAGCGUUGGGUGCAUACGCAACCUCCUACUUGAAGUCCUCGGCGACAAAGUCCGGAUCCUCCUCUGAAGUAACAACACAAGAGUGAGUACAAAAGUACUCAGCAAGUCCAACCCCAUCCACAGAGGGGGAUACAUCAAGAAUAUGCAUAUGAAUAAUCAAGGAAUAAGCUAUAGUUUUAUUUGCAGUAAAGCUGAUUUUUAAACACAUGCAGGGUUCCAUUUCAAAGAAGUUUCAUGAAAACAUUUUAGUAAACAACAUAUCAAGUGGGGUUGAUCCUACACAAAGGAUCCAAGUUUUAUCGCUACCGGACUCCCCGUCCGCCGUAGCGCACAGCACACCUGCCGGACACUUCCAAAAUUCCACACACCCACACACGCAGUAAAAUACCAGCCAUCCCUAAAAGCUAGUUGUGUGACCGAGCCGUAACUCGUCCAAUGCCGUGGACACGGCUACCCAGAUAGGUUUUAACUCUGCAGAGGUUGUACACUUUUCCCACAAGUAGGGUACCGUAUUGCGAUCACCUUAGUGAUGGUACGGAUCCUAACAAAGCCAUUACCCACCUUAGCCAACACUGACUAGUCAACACGGAAGCACUCAAGGGGUUAGCAACCCAUCCACGGGCGCACGGGCGGGCGAGGGCCGAUGCAAUGAUGGCGGCUGGACCUUUGGCCGGUGGCGUGCCGGAGUGGUGGAGCUCGUGGAUGGUGUGGCGGCGUGGUCGACGAGGCCACAGGAGCGGUGACCGGCGACCGGCGACACGACGCGACGCACCGAGCCAAGCGCUAGACGCCAAGGCGUGAGCGAGCGUGGCACGGGUGACGUGACGUGGCGGCGCGACGGCGCGUGGUGCGGCGCGGGCGGCGGCGGAGCGACGCGGCGCGGCGUGCGCGCGGGCACGCGGCCCGACGCGGCGCACGGCCCAGCGCGCGUGCCAGGCAGGGGAGGGGUGCAGGCGCAAGUGGGUGGGGUGCCAGGGAAAUAAAGGAGAGAGAGAAGAAAGAGGAAGGGAGAGGAGGAAGAAAGAGAAGGAAAAGGAGAAGGGAAAGAAAGAGGGAGAAAAAGAAAGAAGGAAGAGAAAGGGAGGAAAGGGAGGGGAAAAAGAUGACGAAAAUUGCGGGAUUCGACUGCGCGCGGUGAUGGACUUGACGGGCACGCGGUGAAAAUUACGGGGAGCGGAAAAAGGAGAGUUGACGAGCCGGGGCCAGGACGGCGGGUCCGACGGAAGGGAAAGGAUUUGACGGAGCUCGGCGGUCGGAAAAAUUUUGGAGAGUAUUUUUAACGGGCGAUUUAACUGGGUGUAUUUUACGGGCGUUACACUUUCGUGGUCAGUAAAGAUACGACAUUCACUACCUAAAAGGUAGUGCUGCCAUAUCUUUAAUGCAUGGACCAUAGCAGCAAGCUCCAAAUCAUGGGUAGGGUAAUGCUCUUCAUGGCGCUUUAGUUGUCGAGAAGCAUAAGCAAUGAGUCUACCUUCUUGCAUAAGAACACACCCUAUCCCUGUCCCUGAGGCGUCACAGUACACAUCAAAGGGUUUCUCUAAAUCAGGUUGAGCCAGUACUAGCACUGUAGUUAGUAGCUUCUUUAAUGUUUGAAAUGAUUUUUCACAUUCGGGGCUCCACCCAAAUUUCACUUCUUUCUUUAACAACUCCGUGAUUGGCUUGGAAAUUUUUAAGAAGUUGGGAAUGAACCUACGGUAAUACCCAGCCAUUCCUAAGAAACUCCUCACUUCAUGGAUAGAUGUUGGUGGUUUCCAAUCCAAUAUGUCCUUGACCUUUCCGGGAUCUGUUUCAAUUCCUUUUUCGGACAGAAUAUGCCCAAGGAAUGGAACUUUCUUUAACCAGAAUUCACAUUUACUAAACUUGGCAUAUAACUGGUGUUCCCGGAGUCUAUUUAGAACAUUACGCAAAUGCUGCGCAUGUUCCUCCUCAUUUUUAGAACAGACUAGGAUAUCAUCAAUAAAGAUGACCACGAAUUUGUCUAAUUCUGGCAUGAAUACUAAAUUCAUGAGAUACAUAAAAUGCGCUGGGGCAUUUUUUAGUCGGAAGGACAUAACCAAAUAUUCAUACAAUCCAUAUCGGGUUGAGAAGGCUGUCUUAGGUAUGUCUUCGGGCUUUAUCUUAAUCUGAUGAUAUCCUGACCGAAGGUCAAUUUUUGAAAAGACCUUGGCUCCAGCUAGUUGGUCGAACAACAAGUCGAUCCGUGGUAAUGGAUACUUGUUCUUAAUGGUUACCGCAUUCAAGGGGCGGUAAUCCACACACAACCUCAAUGUGCCAUCUUUCUUUUUAACAAACAGUGCAGGGCAGCCCCAUGGUGAAGUGCUAGGCUGGACAAAACCUUUAUCUAGUAAUUCUUGGAGUUGAACUUUUAAUUCUGCUAACUCCUUAGGUGGCAUUCGAUAUGGUCUUCUGGAGAUGGGAGCAGUACCAGGCUCUAACUCAAUAGUAAAUUCUACCGCUUUAUCAGGCGGUAAUCCAGGAAGAUCUUUCGGAAACACAUCUACAAACUCAUUAACCACAGGAAUAGAUUCUAGAGUCACCGCUCUAGUCUUUUUAACCAUCUUGUCCAGACAAGGACGAGCGGGUAAUUGGAGCUUAAAAGGGUGGCCUCGGUCGUCCCUUAUACUAACGAUCCGGUUAUCCAUAUCAAUUUGAACUUUAUGUUCUUUCAUCCAAUUUAACCCCAAAAUAAUAUCUAUUCCUUGGACUUCCAAGAUUAAAGGAUAAGCACCCACCUUAUUUCCUUCUAAAUUCAAAGUCACAUUGCAAGCUACCUGAUUUGUAUUUUGAGUAGCUCCAGUAGCUUGAAUGGCAUAUUUGAUGUUUAAGGUAUGUACUUCUAAUUGGUGUUGCUUAACAAACUCUCUACUUAUAAAAGUAUGUGAUGCACCUGAAUCAAACAGAACCAUGGCAGGGUAGUCAUUGACAAGGAACGUACCUACCAGAAUAGGUUCGCCUUCUGGAAUCUCCUCUACAUUCAUAUAGUGUGCUUGUCCCGUCUUGGUAUUCAAAAAUUUGUGGUGAACAAACUAUUGACCGGCACCCUGGCCAGAGGUUUGAGCCUUCAUAUUCACGUUUCCCCCAACUUUGGGAAAACGACAAUCCCAGGCAAAGUGUCCCGGCUUUCCACAAUUAAAACAAACUUGUGGGUUCCCCAGAGGAGUAGGACUGCGAAACCUAAGAGGUAGCGCACUUACAGGUCAAGGAAUAUUAGUAGGAUUUCUGAUAUUCCAGGGCUGAAAUGGCCUCUGCUGUAAAGAAGGCCGAUAAGCGGGUCGAGGAGGGCCCCGGUAUACCACCUUCAUCCUCUGCGGGGCGUUCCCGAAGGUUCCAAAAGAAGUAUUCUUUCUCUUCAAAGAUUCUUCUCUCUUCAAGGUUUCAUCUAAAAUUCUCAUUUUCUCUUCUGCGGUAAUAGCCACGCUUACCGCAGAACUAUAGUCGGCAAAGGUGCAGGUAGACAACUUCUCCUGCAUUCGUGCAUUGAGCCCACGGAGAUAACAUUCCCUCUUUCUGGACUCCGUGUUAACAUGUUCUAGAGCAUACUAGGCCAAGUGAUCAAACUCAUUUGUGUAAUCCAGAAUACUACGAUUCCCUUGCUGUAGCCCCAGAAACUGCUCCAGCUUCAUUCGCAUAAUCCCUUCCAGUACAAACUGCGUUCGGAAAGCUUCCUUGAAAUUUUCACAAGUGACCACCCUUCCAACAGGUUGCCUCGCCAAAUAGCUAGUCCACUAGGUCCCGGCGGGACCUUGGAGUUGGAGCCCGGCAAACUCCGCCUUCUGGGUGGUGGUGCGUUGUGAAAUCACCCGGAAUUUCUGUUCCAUUGUCUAAAGCCAUUCAUUCGCCUUUAGUGGGUGCUCGGCUUUCAGAAAUAUCGGAGGACGAGUUUCCAGAAAUUGGGUGUAAGAUACACCACGUUCUGGGUCCCGUCUGUUCCCACUAUUUCCAGUGUUCUGCACAAUCAUCUGAAGCAGUUGAGCUUGUUCAGCUCCUGAAUUCAUGAGGCUGGCUAUGGCAUCAGCCAGCGUUGGGGCCCUGGGUAAAUUUUCUUCGUGGCCCCCUGACCCUGAAGCCCGAGGACCUCUCGGAUCCGUCAUUCUGCCAAAAUCAAACAGAGUAUUAAUAUCUAAGCCAUAGUUUGUCAGCAGUUCCAUGAGCAUGCUUGUGUUUCAUACAUAACAACACAACCAUUGUAGUUACACACAAACCACACUUAUAUACAUUAUUAUUUAUAUUACAUGAACUGGAGUUUAAUUUUUACAAAGCAACCUCACUACACCGUCCCACCGCUUUUAUCUUACAUAAAUACACCACAACAUUCCUUGGUCAUGAUCUUUCCUCAAACAUCAUAGGGAUAAAUGCCCAGCUCUGCAGCAUUAUCCCUAAUCGUGCCAUUGCAGCCUGCAGAACAUCCUGAUCCACCGUCAUCAAUGUUUGUCCUGGAGGAGCGACAGGUGGAGGCUGAUUCACUGAGUUCUCACUCUCUGACUCUGGUCCGGGAUCGCUUGAGGUAUAGGAGGUAUAUGAUGUGGAGGUGCUGACACCAGAAUUUCCUUCCAUUUCUUCUAGAUCUUCUUCUUCUUCCUCACCUUCUUGCUCGGCUUCACCCCACUGUUGCAUAGGUCCAUAGCCUUAUGGAUCUAACCCAUCUGCAUUUGCAUCGGCCCAUGCAAAGUGAUGGUUUUCAAUUGGAGCUUCACCCAGAUUAUCUUCCAUGUCAAUAUCGAACCCUUCUAAAUUCUCGUGGGUGUACAAGUCGAUCUCGGGAGCUGCAGGUGGAGCUAUGUUACCCUCAACACCCACAACAUCCACCAAUUGAUUUGCUUCUUCUAGGUCUAGCGGUUGUGGUUCUUCUGGUGGUGGAGGCGGUGGAACAUUUACUAUGUUCUGAGCAGGUACUUGAGCCUGCAUUUCUUCUAAAGCCAGACGAAGAGAUAAUAUUUCAUCCAGCUGCUGAAAUCUCUCCACCUCGAGUCUAUUAACAUUUGAUUCAGCUAGUUCUUUUGCCCUCUCCGCCAUAUUUCUACUAGCAUCCAUGAAUUCCUUCAUUGUCCUGAGCUUUUCUUCAUAUUCAUCUAUCCUUCUGGACUGUUCUCUCAUAAUCUUUUCCAUAUCAUGUUCCCUAGCCAGUGCUGCUUUCUUGUAUAAUUCUUUAUCAUGCCUGGCACCCAUUACCUCCAUCUUGACAUCCUCAUUCCUCUUUCUCUAAUUAUAAUAUUCCUUGAUGCAGGAUUGAUGCAGGUUAUACAUAGCAGUCAUAUAGUCGGAGGCAGCAACAACCACAACGUCAUGCUCCACGCGAGAGGAAUUCUUCAAUGCUUUGAUCCUCCUUUUCCAAAUCCCAUCAUCUUGAUGCUUUAUGGGAUAGAAUCGAGCAGAGCUCGACCCUAUUUCCACCUUAUGUUUCUCGCAUAAGUCCGUGAGGGCGGUCAUAGCUGCCCUUUCAAUUGUAUCAUUGAACUCGAAACCCUGCUCCAUAACUUCAUCAAGAUGCCAGUUAGGGUUUGUGUCUUCAUCUGGGAUAUGGACAUAAACAGUACAACACUGCUUAUGAUAGGUGUCCUCCUUCCUCCAAUAAUACUCCGGAGGGUUAUGAAAGCCCAGUUCUUGCAGUGUUUUCCACAACAACUGUACAAACUCGGGCUUGUCCAGGUAAUGCCCCCGGGUCAAUCCGUCCUGAUCUGUAUAUCCUUCUUGAAACAUCCUAUAAAAGAAACGGGGUUAGGUCUAACGGCACUCACCAAACCCAAAAGUUUUUAAAACAUGCUUAUGCAACAUGAAGCAAUGAUUCCUACGUACUCUCAAACUCAUAUACACACUCGUAAAAAAAAUUGGUGGCAUCAUAAUCUCUCCCUAAUAAUAUACUAUCGAGUACUAGCGACACGCAACAAACAGUUAGUAUCUGCAAAACAAACAACCAGUUAACACUACUACCACCUAUGACUCAUAUUUUCUUCAUUUAAAAUAGAGUCUCAGUUUUUAAACAGUAAUAUCUGUUGAUUAUCCCAGUUUAUGGCUCUGAUACCAGCUGUGGCGGAACUGCACAACUUAAACUAGUUUAAAUGCGCCUAAUCGCUGUCGGGACAACAACUAUCCAAAACGCACUUAAAACAGUAUAGGUCCGGUAGUCCGUCGAGUGUCCCUAGGACUCCUCGAAAGAUCCGCGUCGCGUCUCAUAGCCAUACACUAGGAUCGCUUCCACGAUGGGAAAGCAUCAACAAAUAUUAUAUUUUUACAUACAUACAUGAGCUACGAGUUAUUACAGAACGUAGUUUGAAAUAAACUUAACAGUGCAGCUCAGAGAGAUUCUAGGAGUUUAAAACAUAAACUGGUUCAGGUGGGAGAUGAGCAUUUAAGUUUUCUUCUGAGGGUAUUGCGAGACUCGUAACAAUACCCUAGUUUUUCGGGGGCUUCCUCCUCUGCGGACUCCUGCGGUGCUUCUGAAAUAGCCACAAGGGACAACCCUGAGUACGGGGUACUCAGCAAUGCUUACCCGACUAACCAAUAUAAUAGUUUUUCAGGGACUACAUGAUAGCUGUUCAGUGUACUGGCUGACACACUUUUUGCCAAAAGAGCUUACUAAAAAGUGAGACCUUAGCUUUAUCUUUGAACUCAAUUAAGUUAUUACCUAACCAAUCUAAAUGAUGACGAAAAGAUACUUUGCAAGCAGUAAGAUAUUAAGUCAUACAUGAAAUUUUUAUUAAAAAGAUAUUGCAUUCAUGAAAUUAUACUACAAUGCUCAACAGUGAUCAAGUGCAUUCAUAACCGAGAAUUGCGGCGAUCCGGAUCAAUUUACAUCCUGCAGGAGAGCACCCUGAUCACCAUCUAAGUACGAUUGUCCGAGUCGUACGUAACGACCUUUCGAUUAGCAAACCCAAGUAUUAGGAAUAAUACUACCCGAACCCAGGGACGCACCCCCACAUGGGACCCCAUGUCUGGCCUGAUCUCCAUGUGAGUUUCAGGCUACGCCCCUACCAUUCUCCAGCACGUCAAGUACGGGUACGAAAUAUUCCCGAUCAGAGAGUCUACUAACCUACCGAGCUUUACUGGUCCCAUACCCAGUAAGUAACUAGGUGUCAUUCACUUGAUCAAAGGUUAAGACAAUGAUCGAGCCUUAACCAGAUUAAACUAGCAGACAGAACUAACAUCUCUAGCUUCUGCCUGCCUUUCAACUUCCAAGCUACCUUUCCAUAAUUAGCAUGUAUGACCCAACAUUUCACCUUAAGGUUUGGUAACCAAGUUACUUUCAGCAUCUAAGCAUUUCUAAAUUUGGGUUACUUACGAAUUGUUUGAACAAGUGGCAAAGAUGUCCUUAAACAAGGUAAGAUCAUGCACAAGAAUGGGUUUCAAUCAACUCCUAGACUUAAUGCAUUCAUAUAGAAAAUAAUCGAUAAUUGGACACAUAAUAAUAAUACCAAAAUAGAUAGGUAUAAAUGCACCGGGGCUUGCCUUGAUCUAUAAAAAUGUUAGCACUGUCCGACGGAUUGGCUUCGUAGGGGACCAAUUCAACGAUCUCCUCAAACUCCGAAGAUCCUUCUGAUAAAUCCAAGAAUUCCUCUUCAGGUGCUUCGGUGUCUAUGAUAUAGCAUAUGCAUGGGUUAGUGAUGCAACCUUUUGAAUAUAAGACUAUACAACUUUCCUUCAUGAUAAAGUUGCAAGCCAACAAGGGACUACACAAUUUAUCAUGAUAAAGUUGCAAGCCAACACACAAAAACCCGAAAAGAUUAACCCACCAUUUUUAUUUUCUUUACUAAUCCUACCUUAGGCUUUUUCUUUUAUUUUUGGAAAUUAUUAGAAUUAUUUUCUAGUCUCAAACCUAAUUUCCUAUGGGUUAAUAAUAGUUUGUGACUAUGAAAACAUUAUUUCAUAUUUCAUACAUUUAAUAAAGAUUAAGUAUUUAUUUAAAUACCUUAAUGAAAGGGCAUUAAACAAAUACCUAAGUUUUUAUUAUUUUUCCUAGGGUAUAAGAAUUUUAAUGCAUAAAGGAAAAUAAAACAAUCCUAACAAAAUUGGUUUCACUAAUUUUGGACACUCCUAGAAAUUUCUGUGAUUUAAAAGGUGAUAAAUGAAUUUAAGCUAUUAUUCUAACAAAAGGAAAUCUAAAUUUUUCCCAGAAACCCCCGGCCUUACUUUUCUCACUCACCCCCUCUCUACCCUCUCUCACUCGCACUGGACCCGCGACUUGGGUCCACCUUCUUCUCCUAUUCCCUCUACCCGCCGGCCAUUUCUCUUCUAUCGGGCCUACUAGGCCGAUUCCUC